rnacentral:rRNA from 1 species
GACGAACGCUGGCGGCGUGCUUAACACAUGCAAGUCGAACGGAAAGGCCCCUUUGGUGGUACUCGAGUGGCGAACGGGUGAGUAACACGUGCGUAACCUUCCCUUGACUUCGGGAUAACUUCAGGAAACUGGGGCUAAUACCGGAUAGGAAUCCUUGCUGCAUGGUGGGGGUUGGAAAGCUUCGGCGGUUUUGGAUGGACUCGCGGCUUAUCAGCUUGUUGGUGGGGUAGUGGCUUACCAAGGCUUUGACGGGUAGCCGGCCUGAGUGGGCGACCGGCCACAUUGGGACUGAGAUACGGCCCAGACUCCGACGGGAGGCAGCAGUGGGGAAUAUUGCACAAUGGGCGGAAGCCUGAUGCAGCAACGCCGCGUGCGGGAUGACGGCCUUCGGGUUGUAAACCGAUUUCAGCAGGGGCGAAGCUUGUGGUGACGGUACCUGCAGAAGAAGCACCGGCUAACUACGUG